CUGGAAGUGGCCAGAAAGAGUGACUCAUAGCCACAGCCACUUUGUUAAAGGCCUCCUUGUGGAAUGUGCCCUUUGGCGAGUGCCUGCAUGGAAUGCAAAUUUCCCUCCUCUCCCCUUUCUAACAGGUUCCUCCACAUCCCCCUCCCCAGACCUGUUUUCUUGAUCUUGUUCUCACUCUCAUAGGCAUUCAGUCACCUGUUAACUACUGUCCCUGAACUGUCCGUCCUCCCAGAUAAGUGCCUGCUGGAUGGCCGCCCUGCGUCUCUGCCUUCACUCUCAUCCUCUGGGGUGACUGUCAGACCCUUCCAGUCACCAGUUGCCGUAGCAAUGUCAUCACCCAGUUUAUCUGGAGCCAGGCCCAGGGGACUGAUCUUGGGGACCAGGGCAGACGUCGCACCAACUUCUCCAGCAGUGCAUGACUCCUCAGGUACAUGACUUUGAUCUUGUUGGGGGUGAAACUUGCGUGGCAUAGUGGAGGCAGCUGGUGUUGGAUCAACCAGGACUCAGGAAAACUGAAGAAAGUUGCACCUUAGCCUCCUCCUAGCUGAACACCGAAAGCUGUCGAACAGUUCUUGCAGAAAAGGGCGUAUUUGUGCUUCAAAUCUCUGAGAGUCUGCUGUGACUCUCAAAUUGGGACCUGCCAGAAUUUAGAAGGGUGCUAUCUGCCAUGAACACUGAACAGCACAGGACCUGUGGUGUUUCCUGGGAAACAAGUCAGAGCAGCAUACUCCAAUGUGGUCUGUAUUAUCUGUAAAAGUCAAAGAAAGCCACUAGUGUGGGACACUUGAGUCCAGAGCUGUCUACCAGUUCGCUGAACAAACUGAGCCACCCCCAGCUGCUAGAAAUAACACACUGAAUCAAAAAUUUCUUAUAAGUUUGCUACGCCAGUAACUUCACCCUGGUCCAACAUUACAGUCCAGAUUCAAUCCAUUAGCAUCUAUUUUGCAUACACUUCCCAGGUUCCUGUUGAUGAAAAUGGGUUACUCUCACAGUUCUUUCAGUGCAUAAACAGGCUUUGUAGUUAUUUCCUGGGACAUAUUGGGACCUUACUCAAUAAUGGGAGUUAAUGAGGGGUAGCCUUUGAGAAGAUGGCGUUCCCUAGUCAUGUGGUCACUGCCAGUGAGGUAAGAGAACUUCAAACAAGAAAGGCCCAUCUCAGACAAGCAGGAGACUGACAGCCAUGUCCA
rnacentral:lncRNA from 1 species